GGAAAUUUUGUUGGAGAUCAGUCAAUUGCCAUUUCAAAUAAUCCAAAGAGCAUACAAGGUGGUCUACUGAACAUAGACAGCAAACAGGACAAGAAAUUUCAGAUGGUCUGCCAUCAAGCAGCCAUCAAAGUUUUUGAUUCGCAUUUCUAACCAAGUUCAAUCUCCCGAUGUUGAAAACUUCCGACGUCCAUUAUGAAAGAAUCAACCAUUAAUCCUCCUGAUGUUUUUCUACGUACAUAGUUCCUAUCUUUUCAAAGUCCGAUGACCGAGCAUGAGAUUACACAUUCGAAAAAUUAGGGCUUUGCAGAACCCGGAACCAGGAAUUACCCACAGCAAUUGAAUCAAGUUACAGUUCAAUUCAGAUUCAGAAAACAGCAGCAUAGAAGAAAAAGGGGAGCAAUAGAGUAAUAGAGAGAAAACGAACCUGGAAUAGGAGAUAAGAAGCUGAAGAUGUGCA
rnacentral:lncRNA from 1 species